GUUCAGAUUAUGUUACGAACCACUGUAAUUAAAAGAAUCAUGAAUCAAAGGGAAAGAAAAACGAUACUAGUAAGCACCAGUUUUAACCAUUAUAUCAAGAAGAAGACUUGAAUGUUUUCUUUUUGAACAAAACCAAACCACACAGAGAAGAGGGUCUCGCAAAUAUCAACAGUACAAAGACAUAAUACAGGAACGUUGCUACAUCUGUGAAUUAGACCCAGAAGCCUCUAGAAUCAAAACAUAGAGGCUCAAUACUUCCUGGAAUCAAUGUGUAAGGAACUAGAUCUGGAAUUAGACAGCCUAGAUAACAGUUCCCUAAACGACUCAAACGUUAUGAAUUUCAGAAAAGUCCAGACCUUUUCCAAUUUUCAUCUGUAUAACAUACCCAAUUGUGGCACUAAAACCCUAAUUUCAUGCGUCUGAUAAAACUCUCUGCAUUGAAUCGAAGAUUACCUUCUUCUUUUUUCAGAGAGCGUC